UAAGCGGAGGAAAAGAAACUAACAAGGAUUCCCCCAGUAACGGCGAGUGAAGCGGGAAGAGCUCAAGCUUAAAAUCUCCAUACUUGUAUGGCGAAUUGUAGUCUAUUGAGGCUGUUGUCAGCAUCGCGAUUGGGGACAAGUCCCUUGGAAAAGGGCAGCAUGGAGGGUGAUACUCCCGUCUCUGCUCCAAUCUGCGGUGUGUACGAUACGCUUUCUUUGAGUCGAGUUGUUUGGGAAUACAGCUCAAAGUAGGUGGUAAAUUCCAUCUAAAGCUAAAUAUUGGUGCGAGACCGAUAGCGAACAAGUACCGUGAGGGAAAGAUGAAAAGAACUUUGAAAAGAGAGUUAAAGAGUACCUGAAACUGUUGAAAGGGAACCGUAUCGUUUCCAGUGUUGUAUCCUAUGCAUAUUUCAUUCGUGGAGUAAUUUACGGGUGCCCUGUGCAUGGGUGUGACGUCAGGGUCAGUUUGUAUGCUGCGGGAGAUGGUCAGUGAGGAGGUGCGUCACUUCGGUGAAAGUUAUAUCUCGCUGUCUAGUAGCCGUGGUUGAGACUGAGGUGCCUACAACAUGCCUUAAGGUUCUAUGUUGUCUCGUGUUGGUGACUGCUUUGAUAGCUUGCUAUGUCUGUGGUUUAUUAAUGCGAUUGAUGAUGUGGAUAACUUUUGCUGUUCGGGACUCUGGCGAAAUGGAGCGAUCGACC
rnacentral:rRNA from 1 species